rnacentral:rRNA from 1 species
UGCAGCGACGCCGCGUGGGGGAUGACGGCCUUCGGGUUGUAAACUCCUUUCGCUAGGGACGAAGCUUUUUGUGACGGUACCUAGAUAAGAAGCACCGGCUAACUACGUGCCAGCAGCCGCGGUAAUACGUAGGGUGCGAGCGUUGUCCGGAAUUACUGGGCGUAAAGGGCUCGUAGGUGGUUUGUCGCGUCGUCUGUGAAAUUCCGGGGCUUAACUCCGGGCGUGCAGGCGAUACGGGCAUAACUUGAGUACUGUAGGGGUAACUGGAAUUCCUGGUGUAGCGGUGAAAUGCGCAGAUAUCAGGAGGAACACCGAUGGCGAAGGCAGGUUACUGGGCAGUUACUGACGCUGAGGAGCGAAAGCAUGGGUAGCGAACAGGAUUAGAUACCCUGGUAGUCCAUGCCGUAAACGGUGGGCGCUAGGUGUGAGGGUCUUUUCACGACUUUCGUGCCGUAGCUAACGCAUUAAGCGCCCCGCCUGGGGAGUACGGCCGCAAGGCUAAAACUCAAAGGAAUUGACGGA